UCACGGUCCUCGCUUGUGUAUUUCGUCAUCGUCGCCACUACGACCUCGCUAAUCAAAUCCAUAGCCGUUUAAAUACUGCUAUCGAAGGACAGAAGCUUCUAGGGAACAAAGGUCAAGGUGAUCUCCGAAAAGCCAGUCCACAUCUCGAAAAAGCACAGGUUCCGAUUACAGAUUCCCCCUGGGUACAAGUCGCCAUGGCGGAGCUGAUGACACCAUACUGGCAUCCCCUGUUUCGCUCCGUCAGGGUCAUUUGGCUCAUUAAAGGUUGACUGUUGCUGACUGUGUAGAUUUACAUCUACGCUGUACUAAGAGACGGGGAACUUCUCCAAAACCAUCCACGGGUCAGGAAAUAUUAUGACCGUCUCAAGACAAGAUCUGUCUUCCAAGAAACUAUCAAAGAUGGCCAAUGGUAUCUCGACUCAUUGAACAGAUGAAGCCAGUUGAGUGUGGUAACAGUUCAGUUAAAGAUAAUCAUCGAUUCAUUCUAAACGGCUGGAAGUCGUAAAAUAACAUGUGACCUCAGUACGUCACGAUGGAAUCCUCAGCUACAUAACAUUUUGAUUUCUCGUAUCUUGCAAAUAAACAGUUGAUUAACUAG